AAGGGACAAAUGGACAUAAAAUACAUGCUUGCAUGUAUUUUUAUGUCUAUGGGUCCCGCAAAACAUGAGCAAGUAGCCAUUUUUCGAAGAAAAAUGAGCGGAUUGCGAAUGUUUACGUCGAUUUUGAGAGUGCGAAGCACGAAAAAAUCG
rnacentral:sRNA from 1 species